UACGAAGGGGGCGAGCGUUGUUCGGAAUUACUGGGCGUAAAGGGCGCGUAGGCGGCGACUCUAGUCAGAUGUGAAAGUCCUGGGCUUAACCUGGGGACUGCAUUUGAUACUGGGUUGCUUGAAUUCGGGAGAGGAUAGCGGAAUUCCCAGUGUAGAGGUGAAAUUCGUAGAUAUGCGGAGGAACACCGGUGGCGAAGGCGGCUCACUGGCCCGGUAGUUGACGCUGAGGCGCGAAAGCCAGGGGAGCAAAGCGGG
rnacentral:rRNA from 1 species